rnacentral:rRNA from 1 species
CGACCGGCAAACGGGUGCGGAACACGUACAGAACCUUCCUUUAAGCGGGGGAUAGCCCGGAGAAAUCCGGAUUAAUACCCCAUAGUAAUGUUGGGUGGCAUCACUUGAUAUUUAAAGAUUUAUCACUUAGAGAUGGCUGUGCGGCUGAUUAGGUAGUUGGCGGGGUAAAGGCCCACCAAGCCACCGAUCAGUAACUGGUGUGAGAGCACGACCAGUCACACGGGCACUGAGACACGGGCCCG